CAGUGUAACCAAUCCCAACUUGUGUUUCCCCAUAACUGAUCCCUUCUAUUCCCUUUCUCAGUGCUUUUCUGUGUAUUCUCUUGCUUUCCAUGAGAAGAUCUAUGAGAGCAGGAGACGUCUCUCUUGACAUCAGAGAGAAAGUAAUAAGAGGAUAAUUGAUUGCACAUAUUUGUUGCAUAAUAAUUACACAUCCCCAGUGUGUCUAGUUAUUUAAUUAUAGUGAAACUCCAGUUUAUGAUGUAGCCAAUGACUAUUAUAAAUACAGAACAUUCAUUGGUGCCUUGUUUCUCGGCACAGUGAUGGCUACAGGCAGGGGCAGGCAGCAGUACAGUAUAUAACUCGGAGCCCAUAGGGAGGCACAAUACAGAGUUCUACACUGAUACGGAUUAACAGAGACCUGGGAAAGAGAGAGAUUAUUGUUAAUAUGAAGUGGCUGCAAUGUUUCCUGCUCAUUGGUGCAACAUUCAUCCUCUCCAUCCAGUGUGACCCCAUAGAAGAAAGUGACGCUGCAGACAAUACAUGGAAAUGCUGCAACCAAUGCCGGAGAGUAUGUGAUUGUGCAACACAAGCGGCAAUUAAAGAAGAAGAAAUAAACUCACGAAAAUCUCAAAAAAGAACCCCUCCACUGAUUGGUAUUGAAGGCUUUAAUGUAGUUUUAUGCUAUCUCUGUUCUGAGAGUCGUUGUAGACCAAGGAAAUAAAGACACAUACGAAUACUAUGCACCUUACCUGGAGCUCCUUCUCUUGCUGCAAUUCCUACAUGACCCAGAAGAAGAUGAGAUUAUUUUUACAUGUUGACAACAAUGUGGGUUGUGGGGCAUUUCUAUUCCAAGUUCCAUGAAGGAGAGAAGAGGCAGGAGGGUUCACUGUGAGGAUAAGACUGGCAGAUCUUUAGGAACUUUUGUAUCCUCCCUGGAGAUGUACAGGGUUAUAUUGAAAUAAAAAGAACAUUUUUGGAA